rnacentral:rRNA from 1 species
UGCAGUCGAGCGCGUGAAUCAACAUGAUCCCUUCGGGGUGAUUGUUGUGGAUCGAGCGGCGGACGGGUGAGUAACACGUGGGCAACCUACCCAUGAGAUCGGGAUAACUCCGGGAAACCGGAGCUAAUACCGAAUAACCCAGUGAACUGCAUGGUUCACUGGUAAAAGGCGGUUUCGGCCGUCACUCAUGGAUGGGCCCGCGGCGCAUUAGCUAGUUGGUAAGGUAACGGCUUACCAAGGCAACGAUGCGUAGCCGACCUGAGAGGGUGAUCGGCCACACUGGGACUGAGACACGGCCCAGACUCCUACGGGAGGCAGCAGUAGGGAAUCUUCCGCAAUGGACGAAAGUCUGACGGAGCAACGCCGCGUGAACGAUGAAGGUCUUCGGAUCGUAAAGUUCUGUUGUUAGGGAAGAACAAGUACCAGAGGAAAUGCUGGUACCUUGACGGUACCUAACCAGAAAGCCACGGCUAACUACGUGCCAGCAGCCGCGGUAAUACGUAGGUGGCAAGCGUUGUCCGGAAUUAUUGGGCGUAAAGCGCGCGCAGGCGGUUUCUUAAGUCUGAUGUGAAAGCCCACAGCUCAACUGUGGAGGGCCAUUGGAAACUGGGGAACUUGAGUACAGAAGAGGAGAGUGGAAUUCCACGUGUAGCGGUGAAAUGCGUAGAUAUGUGGAGGAACACCAGUGGCGAAGGCGACUCUCUGGUCUGUAACUGACGCUGAGGCGCGAAAGCGUGGGUAGCAAACAGGAUUAGAUACCCUGGUAGUCCACGCCGUAAACGUUGAGUGCUAGGUGUUAGGGGGUUUCCGCCCCUUAGUGCUGAAGUUAACGCAUUAAGCACUCCGCCUG